GAUGAACGNCUAGCUACAGGUCUUAACACAUGCAAGUCGAGGGGCAUCAGGAAGAAAGCUUGCUUUCUUUGCUGGCGACCGGCGCACGGGUGAGUAACACGUAUCCAACCUGCCCUUUACUCGGGGAUAGCCUUUCGAAAGAAAGAUUAAUACCCGAUAGCAUAAUGAUUCCGCAUGGUUUCAUUAUUAAAGGAUUCCGGUAAAGGAUGGGGAUGCGUUCCAUUAGGUUGUUGGUGAGGUAACGGCUCACCAAGCCUUCGAUGGAUAGGGGUUCUGAGAGGAAGGUCCCCCACAUUGGAACUGAGACACGGUCCAAACUCCUACGGGAGGCAGCAGUGAGGAAUAUUGGUCAAUGGGCGCUAGCCUGAACCAGCCAAGUAGCGUGAAGGAUGAAGGCUCUAUGGGUCGUAAACUUCUUUUAUAUAAGAAUAAAGUGCAGUAUGUAUACUGUUUUGUAUGUAUUAUAUGAAUAAGGAUCGGCUAACUCCGUGCCAGCAGCCGCGGUAAUACGGAGGAUCCGAGCGUUAUCCGGAUUUAUUGGGUUUAAAGGGAGCGUAGGUGGACUGGUAAGUCAGUUGUGAAAGUUUGCGGCUCAACCGUAAAAUUGCAGUUGAUACUGUCAGUCUUGAGUACAGUAGAGGUGGGCGGAAUUCGUGGUGUAGCGGUGAAAUGCUUAGAUAUCACGAAGAACUCCGAUUGCGAAGGCAGCUCACUGGACUGCAACUGACACUGAUGCUCGAAAGUGUGGGUAUCAAACAGG
rnacentral:rRNA from 1 species